UGGUAUUGAUUGGUGCUUGCAUCAUGAUUUACAUUUGAGUGAGUGGCGAACUGGUGAGUAACACGUGGGAAACCUGCCCAGAAGCGGGGGAUAACACCUGGAAACAGAUGCUAAUACCGCAUAACAACUUGGACCGCAUGGUCCGAGCUUGAAAGAUGGCUUCGGCUAUCACUUUUGGAUGGUCCCGCGGCGUAUUAGCUAGAUGGUGGGGUAACGGCUCACCAUGGCAAUGAUACGUAGCCGACCUGAGAGGGUAAUCGGCCACAUUGGGACUGAGACACGGCCCAAACUCCUACGGGAGGCAGCAGUAGGGAAUCUUCCACAAUGGACGAAAGUCUGAUGGAGCAACGCCGCGUGAGUGAAGAAGGGUUUCGGCUCGUAAAACUCUGUUGUUAAAGAAGAACAUAUCUGAGAGUAACUGUUCAGGUAUUGACGGUAUUUAACCAGAAAGCCACGGCUAACUACGUGCCAGCAGCCGCGGUAAUACGUAGGUGGCAAGCGUUGUCCGGAUUUAUUGGGCGUAAAGCGAGCGCAGGCGGUUUUUUAAGUCUGAUGUGAAAGCCUUCGGCUCAACCGAAGAAGUGCAUCGGAAACUGGGAAACUUGAGUGCAGAAGAGGACAGUGGAACUCCAUGUGUAGCGGUGAAAUGCGUAGAUAUAUGGAAGAACACCAGUGGCGAAGGCGGCUGUCUGGUCUGUAACUGACGCUGAGGCUCGAAAGUAUGGGUAGCAAACAGGAUUAGAUACCCUUGGUA
rnacentral:rRNA from 1 species